rnacentral:rRNA from 1 species
UACGUAGGGUGCAAGCGUUGUCCGGAAUUAUUGGGCGUAAAGAGCUCGUAGGCGGUCUGUCGCGUCUGCUGUGAAAACUCGGGGCUUAACCCCGGGCCUGCAGUGGGUACGGGCAGACUAGAGUGCGGUAGGGGAGACUGGAAUUCCUGGUGUAGCGGUGAAAUGCGCAGAUAUCAGGAGGAACACCGGUGGCGAAGGCGGGUCUCUGGGCCGUAACUGACGCUGAGGGGCGAAAGCGUGGGGAGCGAACAGG